UCAGAGGGAGGUAGAAUUNCACGUGUAGCAGUGAAAUGCGUAGAGAUGUGGAGGAAUACCGAUGGCGAAGGCAGCCUCCUGGGAUAACACUGACGUUCAUGCCCGAAAGCGUGGGUAGCAAACAGGAUUAGAUACCCUGGUAGUNCACGCCCUAAACGAUGUCGAUUAGCUGUUGGGCAGCAUGACUGCUUAGUAGCGAAGCUAACGCGUGAAAUCGACCGCCUGGGGAGUACGGUCGCAAGAUUAAAACUCAAAGGAAUUGACGGGGACCCGCACAAGCGGUGGAUGAUGUGGAUUAAUUCGAUGCAACGCGAAGAACCUUACCUGGUCUUGACAUGUACGGAACCCUCCAGAGACGGAGGAGUGCCUUCGGGAGCCGUAACACAGGUGCUGCAUGGCUGUCGUCAGCUCGUGUCGUGAGAUGUUGGGUUAAGUCCCGCAACGAGCGCAACCCUUGUCAUUAGUUGCCAUCAUUAAGUUGGGCACUCUAAUGAGACUGCCGGUGACAAGCCGGAGGAAGGUGGGGAUGACGUCAAGUCCUCAUGGCCCUUAUGACCAGGGCUUCACACGUCAUACAAUGGUCGGUACAGAGGGUAGCCAAGCCGCGAGGUGGAGCCAAUCUCACAAAACCGAUCGUAGUCCGGAUUGCACUCUGCAACUCGAGUGCAUGAAGUCGGAAUCGCUAGUAAUCGCAGGUCAGCAUACUGCGGUGAAUACGUUCCCGGGUCUUGUACACACCGCCCGUCACACCAUGGGAGUGGGGGAUACCAGAAGU
rnacentral:rRNA from 1 species